CUGGAAAUAAUGUUAUCACUCUGGGAAGCAAAAGCCAUCAUUUGAGGGUUUAUAGGAAGCUGUGUGUACUGUCCUUCCAACCUCAGCUUGCAGCUGGCACACCUGGCUGAAAUUUCUGGAGCAGGCAGCAUUCAUCUGGUGAGUGCUCCUCAGCAUUGUCUCAUUGUCUCUGCUUCCUCCAUCCUCUUAUGAACCCAAGGUGAAGGAGCUUCCCAUGGGGUUGUGCUUCCCUCUCUGCCCUGCUUCAGCUGGAGAAGUGUCUUCCCCUCUCCUGAAGCACAGCAGUGACGAUCCAGUCACCAGAUGGCCAUUGUGUAAAUGGGAAUGAGAAUUUUUAUCCAGAUGGAAGAUGGAAGAUUGAUCACCUUCUCAGGAUAACAGGAUGCCCAGCACAGGACCCCUUCUGUGAGAAAAAGCUUCCUAUAGCCACAGCAGCUACAAAUAUAACCCUGCAGAAAACUGAAAAGCAGCUCUGUGUUGAGGACUUUCCUGUAAGAAGUUUACUACAGUGUGUCAGAGCUCGUAGAGCUCUGCAGAGAGCCUUCAUGAAUCCGUUUGGUGGAACUUCUGAACUGGGAGUAUUCACAACUGAAACCCAGGGAAAUUGGAAUGCUUUAGAUGCCAAAACAUGUUUACUGAAGGCAACACUGACUCUCUUACAAGGCUCUGCAGAAAUCUGCCAGUUGAAAAAGCUGUUAGCUUGCAUUCCUGAUGUCUGCAUGGUAUCUAAAUUGUCCUUGUGUUGAACUCCCAUUGCCAUCAAUGAGGCACAUCAAAGGCUUCUAAAGGACCAGCCAAGUGGGACGGAAAACAGGUUUAUAAAUGAAAUAUGUUAUUUACUGGCAGAACAUUAGGGAUGCCUCUGGUGAAGUGUUUUGGGUAAGUUUUCCAGUGAAACUAUUAGUGAACUGAAUUCAGAAAAAAGUAAUGGCUUCAUUAGUUGCUAUGAUACAAAGUAAAGUGAAAAUUCUCACACUGUUAUAACUGCUGGUGUUGUAAAAUAAAAUAUUCUGCAUCUUAUAGAUACUGCA
rnacentral:lncRNA from 1 species